GAUGAACGCUGGCGGCGUGCCUAAUACAUGCAAGUCGAGCGAACGGACGAGAAGCUUGCUUUUCUGAUGUUAGCGGCGGACGGGUGAGUAACACGUGGAUAACCUACCUAUAAGACUGGGAUAACUUCGGGAAACCGGAGCUAAUACCGGAUAAUAUUUUGAACCGCAUGGUUCAAAAGUGAAAGACGGUCUUGCUGUCACUUAUAGAUGGAUCCGCGCUGCAUUAGCUAGUUGGUAAGGUAACGGCUUACCAAGGCAACGAUGCAUAGCCGACCUGAGAGGGUGAUAGGCCACACUGGAACUGGGACAGGGUCCAGACUCCUACGGGAGGCAGCAGUAGGGAAUCGUCCGCAAUGGGCGAAAGCCUUGCGGAGCAACGCCGCGUGAGUGGUGAAGGUCUUCGGAUCGGAAAACUCUGUUAUUAGGGAAGAACAUAUGUGUAAGUAACUGUGCACAUCUUGACGGUACCGAAUCAGAAAGCCACGGCUAACUACGUG
rnacentral:rRNA from 1 species